CCUACGGGGGGCAGCAGUGAGGAAUAUUGGUCAAUGGUCGGGAGACUGAACCAGCCAAGCCGCGUGAGGGAGGAAGGUACAGAGUAUCGUAAACCUCUUUUGUCAGGGAACAAAGGCGGGGACGUGUCCCCGGAUGAGUGUACCUGAAGAAAAAGCAUCGGCAAACUCCGUGCCAGCAGCCGCGGUAAUACGGGGGAUGCCGGGGUUAUCCGGAUUUAUGGGGUGAAUGGGGUGCGCGGGGGGUUUGUUAGGUCAGCGGUAAAAGCCCGGGGCUCAACCCCGGACCGCCGUUGAAACUGGCAGUCUCGAGUUGGAGAGAAGUAGGCGGAAUGCGCGGGGUAGCGGUGAAAUGCAUAGAUAUCGCGAAGAACUCCGAUUGCGAAGGCAGCAUGCCGGCUCCACACUGACGCUGAGGCACGAAAGCGUGGGUAUCGAACAGGAUUAGAUACCCCUGUAGUC
rnacentral:rRNA from 1 species